GCUAAAUGCUAAAACCAUUCACAAGAAUAAAACACUAACAGUGGGUCCAGAUGGAGAAGCUCAUGUGGAUAGUUGCACCUGUAACCAGACACAGCUGGGCUUCAGUGGUUUGCUUCGGGGCACAGUGACCUACAGGAAGGUAGGGACUGCUGUAUGUGUGCAUUUUGCUGCUGUAUCCACAGAGUCUAGAAUGGUGCACUACCUGAUCACCAUGCCAUGAAUAUUUGUUGGAAAAACAAUAAACCCAUGGCUGCUGGACUUCUCACCUUACAGAAGUGCCUGUGAGAGAUUGUGGUGAGGUGCUUGGGGCAGGAAGGUCCUGGGCUGAGCCCAGAGCCUGAGCAAGCCCUCCGUGUGUGGCGUUCUUCAGCACAUGAUCCAGUUAAAAAGGGACCUGCUGACUGAAACUGUUAGAAGCCGGAAAGGUGGACUCCAAAGUGGCUGCAGCCUGGUGAAGAAGAGUGGCCAGUGACCUCCUUUCCAUCAGCCCAGGGCCUGGAUGGCAGCGAGAGCCUGAGAAGCUCCCUCGCUCACCCCACGUGUCCCCACCAGGCACUCACCUUACAUUCAUUUUUAACAUAAAGUUACCCUGGAAACGCUGGAUCCAGAA
rnacentral:lncRNA from 10 species